CCUAACGGGAGGCAGCAGUGAGGAAUUUUGGUCAUUGGACGAGAGUCUGAACCAGCCAAGUAGCGUGAAGGAUGAUUGCCCUAUGGGUUGUAAACUUCUUUUAUAUGGGAAUAAAAUGUUCCACGUGUGGGAUUUUGUAUGUACUAUAUGAAUAAGGAUCGGCUAAAUCCGUGCCAGCAGCCGCGGUAAUACGGAGGAUCCGAGCGUUACCCGGAUUUAUUGGGUUUAAAGGGAGCGUAGGUGGAUUGUUAAGUCAGUUGUGAAAGUUUGCGGCUCAACCGUAAAAUUGCAGUUGAAACUGGCAGUCUUGAGUACAGUAGGGGUGGGCGGAAUUCGUGGUGUAGCGGUGAAAUGCUUAGAUAUCACGAAGAACUCCGAUUGCGAAGGCAGUUCACUGGACUGCAACUGACACUGAGGCUCGAAAGUGUGGGUAUCAAACAGGAUUAGAUACCCUGGUAGUC
rnacentral:rRNA from 1 species